rnacentral:rRNA from 1 species
CCAGACUCCUACGGGAGGCAGCAGUGGGGAAUAUUGGGCAAUGGGCGCAAGCCUGACCCAGCAACGCCGCGUGAGGGAAGACGGUCUUCGGAUUGUAAACCCAUGUCUUUGGGGAAGAAAAUGACGGUACCCAAAGAGGAAGCUCCGGCUAACUACGUGCCAGCAGCCGCGGUAAUACGUAGGGAGCGAGCGUUGUCCGGAAUUACUGGGUGUAAAGGGAGCGUAGACGGCAGCGCAAGUCUGAAGUGAAAUGCCGGGGCUUAACCCCGGAACUGCUUUGGAAGCUGUGCAGCUAGAGUGCAGAAGAGGUAAGUGUAAUUCCUGGUGUAGCGGUAAAAUGCG